rnacentral:rRNA from 1 species
UACGAGGGGGGCUAGCGUUGCUCGGAAUCACUGGGCGUAAAGGGUGCGUAGGCGGGGCUUUAAGUCAGGGGUGAAAUCCUGGAGCUCAACUCCAGAACUGCCCUUGAUACUGAGGAUCUUGAGUUCGGGAGAGGUGAGUGGAACUGCGAGUGUAGAGGUGAAAUUCGUAGAUAUUCGCAAGAACACCAGUGGCGAAGGCGGCUCACUGGCCCGAUACUGACGCUGAGGCACGAAAGCGUGGGGAGCAAACAGG